AACGACUCUCGGCAACGGAUAUCUCGGCUCUCGCAUCGAUGAAGAACGUAGCGAACUGCGAUACUUGGUGUGAAUUGCAGAAUCCCGUGAACCAUCGAGUCUUUGAACGCAAGUUGCGCCCGAAGCCAAUAGGCCGAGGGCACGUCUGCCUGGGCGUCACGCA
rnacentral:rRNA from 1 species